UGAUAUAAAGCUAGGAAUCUGGCAACAGAAAAGGGCUAUAGGGGAAAUAGUCUGUAGUCACUCCUAGGAGAAGGGAGAUGUGUCUGAGGCUAUAGUGCUAGGUAGCCUGCAAUUAUUACUCCCUGGGAGAAGGGACAUUAGGCUGGUAAAUCCAGAAGGCUAGGGGAGCCAUAAGAUAGAGUUGAGAUGUAGGAAGGUGUCUGGGGAAGAGUAACAAUACCUAGCAGUGAGCAGGUCACUGUCCCUAGAGAUAAGAGUCCAUAGACUGGAACCUGGAGUAAGUGGCUGGGGUGACUUCCCCCACUAGCCACUGAAGAAGUAGCACAGUCAGGGCAGUGAAAGGAACACUGCUAUUUUGUAUAGAGAGCCUUUCCUACCCCAGAAGGGGAGGACUAUUGCCAGAUUACUAGAGGGCUGAGUUGUGAAGGAGCACCCUGAGUCCCAGAGAAAAAGAAACAGGGAGAGGGACUGACCAAAGGGGUUGUUGGAGCUGCAAAGAGCUAAUCCCCAGAGCAACCAGGAGGGGGUACCCUAGCUGCAGGAAGAGUGGUUCCCUCACCCAUCAAGGACUAUCAAAAGUAAAUGGGCCACGGUAGGACAAAAACUCCAUUGAUUUGCCCCAUUAACCCAUGAAGUUAUGAGCAGGAGCCCUCGUCUCAAAAGUUUGAGCUCUGGGAGAAGGGCAUAUAAAGAUACUCACAAGAAGAAAUAGUUCUCUCCUGCUGUUUGGACUCUUAAAAGGGCUGGAGCUGAGAAACGAAAGUAAAGAUCUCCAGUGUCAAGAUGGGUUAGUUCUAAGAAUCUCAGUGGAGAGAUUACUACAGAAUGUCUCAAUCAAGGGCAAAGCCUCAAACACAUCUCCAGGAUGCAAAAUAACAGACCUACUCCAGCCCUCCUCUAGAGGUGAAAUGAUUGGCAGUCUACUGACAGGCCCCAAAGGAUGUUCAUUUUUUCACUCUCUUGCAGUGAGUGGCAAAACUCCUCUGCACUCCAGUGGGAAUAGGAUCGGGCCUGUAAAGUAAUCAUGAAGAUCUUCCCUACUUAGAUGCGGGUAGGGACUGUCUCUGUUCUGUGUUUGUACUGCACCUAGAACAAUGGGGUCUUGAUACUAGUAAUAUUAAGCAGAUGAGACACACACCUGUCAGCUAAACUGUAGCAAGAUGUGGUUUAGAAAAAUAGAUACAGACAACAGGGAUGCUGAGGCUGCCAGAGUUCAAACUCCCAGGAGCCUGGGUAGGGCAUUCUUUUGCCUACUGUGGAUCUCUCUAUCACUAGAGAUCAACUGAGCUGCAGUCCCAUUAAGGACUUGAUCCCAAGCCUAUUGCAGUCAGGAGGAGUGCUAAGAGCAUAAUGCAAGACUCCCCUUUAUAUGAAUGUAAACAGGGAUUCACGGGAAAAUCAAGAAAUCAAAGGGAUGGGCACAGAAUAUGGCCCUAACUAGACUACAGUGUUAAUGCCUGUAUGUGAGACACAGAUAACUGCACUUAUGGGUGAACUAGAAAUUCAUAGCUAGUUAGAUCAGAUUAGAUCUUAAGACAUGUGGCAUGUAUUAAAGUUAAUUGGUUGCACAAAGGAAGAGGUAGCAAUCCAAGCUCAGCUACAUUUUGUUGCAACAUUUCUCCACCAUCCUAUAAUUUAUCAGAAUUCAAACAGAACAAAUCAAUAGUAUGACCCUCCAAAUUCAGAUUUGACACCCCACCUGCCAUUUGGAGAAAGCAGACGAGACUAUGGAAGUCUGUGUUCAGCUAAUUGUUACUGCAGAUAUCAAAUGCUGAAUAUCCUGCCCCAAUAAGAUUUCUGUCAAACUCCGUGUGUUCUGUGAAAUCAUGUGUUUGAAGUCUAAGUCAAAUUACCAUCUUUCCUUUGGUUUCCCACUGGUUCUUUGUUCCUGGGAACUCUGUUGGAUCAUGUGGUGAUAAACAGAUUUCUCAGGGGGGCCAGGCCAGAACAGCCUUGUAGGACAUGAAAUGAAGCCUUGAAAUGAUGUCUCAUAUUAUUGCCAAUGAUAUCUGCACAGUUCUACUGUUCAUAUUAAAUCAUUUAAAUAUUUAACAUGCUUCCCCAGAAUAAAGUGCAAACCCAACAACAGUUACCGACAGCUGCAGGUGGAUCCAGAUCAUAUAACUUGGGGGCUUAAAGGGAAAGAGACCAUAAUUUUACACUGGGAAAACUCCACCUCUGAAUGUGUGACCUGCUCCUAGGGGCUUCUGAGGAUUAAGAGACACUUGUAUCCCCUUGUCUUUAAUUUCAUUGGGCAGAGGCAGACCCUGAAAAUAUCAUUUCUAAAUUGUGCUGAUUGUGCAACAGCCCCACAUGCUACUCCCAAACAAAGAAAGCGACAGGCCUGCAACUGAUCAACCACCAUGACUUGAGAGUAUCACCUGUGUCCGCCUCAGUCUGUUUAAUGCCCAGACAGGAAAAUGACCAACAAUUUAGUGGAUUCAAUCAGUGUACUAACCUUGACCAUUCCAGAAGGGAAAAUAUGACAGAUCGGCCCCUAUGCUCCCCUACCUUAAACAUAAACCCCCUAGAGUGCAUCCCGGAGAGAUGCAGCAAAUUUGGCUGUAUUGGGAAUUUGCUGCUGCUUCUCUCUCUCUUUCUCUCCCCCCCCCCCCCCCCCCCCCCCCGCCUGGGAAGCAUUCCCAGUGAAAUCUUUCAUAUUCCUAAAGUGCAGUAAGGCUAGGACUCACUAAAAAGCAUGGAAUUGGCACAAGGGUGAGGAAGCUGCAAGAUCCCCCAGUUAGAUUCAUAGCUUUGGUUGGGGUGCCAACAGGGUGGGAGUAUUUGAUAUUCCCCUUUUAUGAAAGGUAAUUACAAAACGACACUGCCCGCUCCUCGCCGCCGCCUCCUCUGAUCCCUCUGGGCAGCGCCCCCUAGCGAUUAUCAGCCAGAUGUGCCAUUUUCCAAUAAACAAAGCGGUACCCCUGAAAUCAACUUUGAAUUUUUUUUUUAUUCUCCUUUGGUGCUUGUUUCCCCCCCCCCCACACACACACACUUCCCAGCCCUGGGGGUUUGAUUCGCAAAGCAUAGAGCGGUGCAAACCACCCUGCUUAUUCAGCAAUCUCCAAGGAAAGGCAGAACGAAUGCCUGGCUGGCAAAGGGUUUUCCUGCACUGUACAACAGAGGAUCGCAAUUUUUUCCCCCAUACUGUAAUUUUCCCACGGUGUAAAUACGGCUUGAUCCAUGCAAUAAUCCUUCCCCUUCUGCGCCCCCACCCCCCAGUCCAGCCAAAAGAAC